AGCUAAUAGGGAGGGCAAAACUGUAAGUUUCACUUUGACUUCCAUUUAUAGAAAAGAAUGGACAUAUUAGAACAUUUACUGUGGCUCACUGCAUCAUUGCUGUGUUUUGAUUGACACCUACACUGUGUACGUUUUAUGAAGUGACUGUGAAGGCCAUUGCUUCUAGAAAAUGUGAGAUGGUAAUCUUUCAAGGAGUUUACUUUUAAGAACUGAAAUAAGAGAAAUAGAAUCCUCAUUCUAAAUUUCCUCAGCAUUUGUCCCCCAUGAAGAUGCGUACUUGCUUGCAGUUAUUGUGUGCACUCGUUUAAUUUUUGAAAUAGGGACUGCAUGAAAAGUUGAUUUGAUAAGUGCUAUUCUAUAAUGUAUUUUCAAUCAUUUACUGAAGAUAGUUGUUUCAGGUUUUGGUGAAUUUCA
rnacentral:misc_RNA from 1 species